CUAGCUGUGCGUGCGUCCCUCCCUCCCUCCCUACCCUCUAUCUCUCCCGAUGUGGUGGCGCGGCCUCCUCCUAUGGCGCACAUAUCUCUCUCUCCCUGCUGAUAUGGUCGGGCAUGGCGGGUGCCCCCAGUGGCGCUCGCGCUGCGGCGGCGGCGGCGGCGCCCAGCCACAGGGUAGGGUUUCGCGAGGUGGCGACGGCGGCAUCCGGCCGUAGGGCUUGUGGAGCGUGCAUAGUGCGAGGGCACACGAGGGUCUACAUGGAGGAUUUGGUCCCCAAGCCGUGGGUGGUGCCGGCGCUGCUGUACAGGGAGGUGUAGUGGUGUGAGGGAGCGGUGGAGGACGUGGUGGGCUUCAUGUGCGGCCACUCGCUCACCGCCAUCGCUUCAGGUCCGUAUCACUACCCGUAUCCUCCAAUUUUGAUCCAUCUUUUAUUGGUUUUGAUGAAUUGGAUGAAGCAAUGGCUGUUUUGAGAAGCUGUAAUGGUGGCGGCUUCCAUAUGCACCGUGUUGCUGGUGAUGAAGGCAUUGACAGUUUGCAGAGUGUCAAUGAUAGCAGAAUCCUGGUGGCCACAGUUUUAGUUUCUAAAGUGCAGUCUCUUAUUCUUCUUUACUGAUCCCUAACCCUUAAGCCUGUGCAUUUUGAUCGCAUAGAUUCUAUACCAAUGGUUCCAUCUACUGUCAUCGCUAGCUUGCAGUUUAGACAAAGCUGUUAAUCUAUCUUCUUUAAUGGGGAAAACAUUUGAUGUGUCCCCAGGUUACACAAACUUGAAUUAUUCCAAGUGAACUUCUGUUUGAGUUUCGUUUCUCUUGUGCAUAUGAUGCCCUUAGGAUCUGUUAAAUGAAAGCUCAAGAUUUGUUUGCACAUUAAAUUUGAGUUUGGCAUUUUUCAAAACUGCAAGGGGAGCUAGAGGAUAUCCAAAGAGAAAGCACGAAUGGCUGCAUCUCAGGUGAAUGGGCCUAUACUGGUGAAGGAUACUUGCCUAUGUUUUAAUCCACACAAAGGCCUACUAGGUGAUUUAUUUUUGUUGUUCUUCAAAGUCCUCUCAUUUGCUAGGUUCUACAAAUACUAUCCGGCACACACAACAUUUAAGCAAUUUAGGCUCUGCAUAUCAUAUUGUUGUUAGAGAUUUAAGCUUUUCUGUUUGGAGCUCCCUUACAGAUUUAUCUGGUUUUGGAGUUAGAGAAAUUUGUCUUGAAGGGGAUCAUGUUCAUCCCAGUGAAAGGUGAGGGUACAAUUCCCAAUUUAAUUUCAUCGUGUGAAAUUAUGAAUUACGGAAGGGUUUGUUCAAUCAAUUCCUUUGCAGUAUCUGUAAUUGGAUUCCCACUUGAAUUACAUUUCGGUAGUGUAGCUAGGUAAUUUGGGAACAACUCAGAGUAGCAUAAUCAUGUCACUGUCUUAGGUUUUGCAAUGAAAGUUGCCAUAAAGAAAAUGGAUACAAAGGCAUCUCAAAAAUUCCUCGCUGAACUGAAGGUGACCAUUAAUCUUUUUCAACCUGAAUGCCCCAGUCAUGGUUCAGCUUGAGGGAAACUAACCGUCUUGAGGUAGUCAAUUUUUUAAUUUUCUGUAUAUAGCCUUUUCAGAGUGCACCUCUGCUUUCUAAAAUGAAGAUUGAUUUCUGAAUGUCAUGUAUGAUAAUUAGCCAUGGCAAGAAAAAAACACUCAGUAGCUUUUGAAAAACAAAAUAUAUUUGUAAAACCAGGGUAUUUCUCCAAUACUUGAAAAAUACUUUACAUCCAAAUGGGGUUACAUGUAUUACUCUUUCAAGGAGGAAGUACAUCUAUUCUGUGGCUGCAGCUUAUUCUAAGAAAUAUUUGAUGUGGAUCACUUUAUGAGCUACUGAGUUAGUUUCAUUUCUUAUUUUUCUAUUAAUACGAUGAACUACUAUUUGAUUUAAUGAUUUGGUUACUCUAUGAGGAUAGUUGUUCAACAAUAAUCUGCUUAUUCACCUAUUGUGUCACUGCCAACUACAGGAUUGCUGCAUCUGCAGAUCUUCAAUGCCUGUGUCGUAAAAUAUGCAGUUUUGCAUCUCCAUUUUGAUAAGAAUAUGGCUGCACAUUCUGCCUGUGACUUUAGAGGUGGGAGAGCUGAACUAGGUCUCCCUAAGUACAGGGAAGUUAUAUGGCCAGGGAUGGUAUCAAACUCAUAGCUAAGCGACGAGGAGCUUUGGAACACAGGACGCCGCACGUUGACAACUCUAACUUCCUUCUCACAAGGUAUAUGAUGAGAAGCCAGGAUCUCGAGCUUGCGCAAAACAUUUCCAUUAACAUGGCUUGCAUCUUCAUUUUUCUGAUUAUGAUUUGUCAAGAGAGCUGCAGGCACUAGGAUUUAAUAGUAAAACUCCACUCUAAAAGCUUACAUGUUGUGCUCACCUCAGGAGGUAAAUAAGCAACUCAAUGUGCUUCAACCAAUGGCCUCUGUCUCCCUCAAUGCAUUUGUGCUCAUCUUUUUGUAUUCUAUUUGCAUUAGAUAGGUAAAUCCUUGAGCUUACAUAUACCACUGCACUAUUUGUUAAGUGGCUGAAACUGAAUGGAAGACCAAUUCCUACAAGCUGGAAUUUUUUUAGUGUUAUUUUUUACCCUAAGGACAUAUUUUCAUUGCUGAAUUGUGCAUUUCUUUUGAAUACAAUUGGCCGUCUCGAAUCAAAGCGCAGCGCCAUGGAGAUGCAGAGCUGGUAAUAUGAGGACUCAAUUGAUGCAGAGCUGGGAAGUUGGAGAAGCAGAAGCUGUAGCACGCUUGGAGGGGAUUCGUUAGAAGCAGAAACAAAAGCUGCUGCAUGCUCGAGUCUUGUUGCGAAGCUCAAGAAUUGAGAAGUUUGGAGUGAAGCAAAAUAAAUUUAUGCAUGAGUCUUGUCAAUGUCAAAGAUGUAGUAUUCUUUUUUGUGUGUCAAGAGUCUUGUUUUGUAAUGAUAUUGUUGAAUCUGUGAUAAUAAAGCUCUCUUUGGCAAA